rnacentral:lncRNA from 10 species
AAAAAAAAAGAAAGAAAAAAAGAAAAAAGAUUAAAUAUAAAGAAGAAUAAAACAAGCCAGGUGCAGUGGCUCACGCCUGUAAUCCCAGCACUUUGGGAGGCCAAGGCGGGUGGAUCGCCUGAGGUCAGGAGUUCGAGACCAGCCUGGUCCAACAUAGUGAAACCCCAUCUCUAUUAAAAAUACAAAAUAAGCCAGGUGUGGUGGCGUGUGCCUGUAAUUCCAAGGCAGAAGAAUCGCUUGAAUCCAGGAGGCAGAGGUUGCAGUGAGUCAAGAUCAAACCUCUGCACUCCAGCCUGGUGUGCAGGCUAUAAGAAUUUAUAUAGGCCAGGCACAGUGGCUUAUCCCUGUAAUCUCAGCACUUUGGGAGGCUGAGGCGGGCAGAUCACUUGAGGUCAGGAGUUCAAGACCAGCCUGGCCAACACGGUAAAACCCCGUCUCUACUAAAAAUACAAAAAUUAGUCAGGCAUGGUGGUGCGUGCCUGUAGUCCCGGCUUCUCGGGAGGCUGAGGCAGGAGAAUCGCUUGAAUCUGGGAGGCAGAGGUUGCAGUGAGCCGAGCUCAUGCUAUUGCACUUCAGCCUGGGCGACAGAGCGAGACUUGGUCUCCAAAAAUAAAAAAAAAAAAUAGAAAGCCUCCCAGGUAAUUCUUAUGUACUGCCAAGUUAAGAAGCACUGCUGUGGUGUAUAAUCUUAAGGCAAUUCUUCCCAGAUGAGGUAAAGUUAAAAAGGACUCUAAGAAAUAUGAGACCCAAAUUCACGAAAACAGUCUCAAAAAAGAACAAAGUUGAAGGACUCAUACUUCCUGAUUUCAAAAUUUACUACAAGUUAUUACAGUAAGCAAGACAGUGUGGUACAGCAUAAGGAAGAUAUAAAGAUCAAUGGAGCAGAAUUGAAGUUCCAGAAAUAAGCCCUUACGUUUAUAGUCAAUUGAUUUUCAACAAGAGUGCCAAGAUCAUUCAGUGGGGAAAGAAUAGGCUUUUCAACAAAUGGUGCUGGGACAACUGGGUAUCCAUAUGCAAAGGAAUGAUUUUGGACCCUUCUUUACAUAAUAUACAACAAGUAACUCAAAAUCAAUCAUAGACCUACAUGUAAGAGCUAUUAUAAAGCUAUAUAACUCUUAGAAAAAAGCAUAGGAUUAUACACCAUGACUGAGUGGGACUUACCCCAGGAAUGCAAGAUUGGUUUAACAGUCAAUAUUUGAUUAAUAUAAUUACACUCUAUAAUUAGAAUAAAAUACAAAAACCACAUGGUCAUCUCAAUAGCUG